GGCUAGGAAGCUAGUGUAGUGGUUAGCGUGUUGGACUAGGGCCUGGGAGGUCAGGGUUCAAAUCCCCACUUAGUCA